rnacentral:rRNA from 1 species
UACGAAGGGUGCAAGCGUUAAUCGGAAUUACUGGGCGUAAAGCGCGCGUAGGUGGUUCGUUAAGUUGAAUGUGAAAGCCCCGGGCUCAACCUGGGAACUGCAUCCAAAACUGGCGAGCUAGAGUAGGGCAGAGGGUGGUGGAAUUUCCUGUGUAGCGGUGAAAUGAGUAGAGAUAGGAAGGAACACCAGUGGAGAAGGAGACAACCUGGGCUAAUACUGACACUGAGGUGCGAAAGCGUGGGGAGAAAACAGGAU